AUGGCAAUCGUCCAUACAUACGGGAAGCCGGACAUCUUCUUGACCAUGACAUGCAACCCUAACUGGGAAGAGAUAUCGGAUGAGUUGUUUCCUGGUCAGACGGUGCGAGACAGACCUGAUCUUGUGGCUCGCGUGUUCCAUGGCAAGCUAGAGGCUAUGAAAGAGAUGCUGUUCAAGAAGCAUAUCCUGGGUGUUGUUGUCGCUUAUGUAUACGUAGUCGAGUUCCAAAAGAGGGGCCUCCCCCACGCACACUUUCUGUUGAUCAUGGAUUCGACAUACAAGCUCAUCGUUCCGGAGCAGUACGACCGACUCAUUUCCGCUGAGCUCCCAGACAAGCAUAAGUAUCCAGAUCUCUACGCCUUAGUGGUCAAACAUAUGAUGCAUGGACCAUGCGGUGCUCUCAACCCAAAGAAUGUUUGCAUGCAACAGAACGAAUGUAAGUGCAGAUACCUGCGGCCGUUCAAUGAAAACAUGACACAAGGCAAGGACUCAUACCCAGUUUAUCGACGUAGGGAUGAUGGUAGUCGGGCUAAGGUCCGAGGGAAAAUGUUGGACAACAUAUGGGUUGUGCCUUAUAACCCUUACCUUCUGUAG
rnacentral:rRNA from 1 species